AAAUUUUAUCUGCAUUUGUGGUUUUGUAAUUUACUGGGAAUCAUGUGUGUAAUAGUUGAAGGCUGUUUCAUCCAUUUUCUGGUAUGGAGGAUUGGCAUAGAAACUUCGCAGUGAUCCUGUUAAGAUUCAAUUUCUUCGCAGCAUGUUUUUCAGAUUCCGCUACCAAAUUCAUCUGGCACUGAUGCUGAUGCAAUGAUGGGCCAUGGUUAGCUGGGAAAAGAAAAAAAUUCUAUUGGCUUGGAAUACAGCGGCGAAUAUAACGGAGCAAUUGAGGAUGGAACAACGAGCCGAAAGGGGAAAACAAACGAACAAGAAAAAAAAAAAAAAAAAAAAAGUGAUG